UAUCUUUGUCAGGAAAUUUGAUAUGUAAAGCAAUCAUUCUCUAGUAAUCAGAAAGUAAUCUUCACUCUGCUAAUUAGAGAGUUGGAAAAAAAAAUACUAUUGUUUAUGUUAUCUAUGAACAAAGGAGUCAUUUGGUUCACAAACUAGUUAUUGAGUACAAUAGCACAGGGAUUGUUAUGCGGGGAAUCAUAGUGUAGUGAUUUCCACACGGUGAAUAAUAAUCUAUGGACUGUUAUACAAUAAAUAAUAAUAAUAUAAGGUUUUUUAUGCAAUGAUUAUCUACUUUAACAACAUUUUUAUCUGUAGAUACUUUUUAUCCAGGUAUUGCUAAUACAGCACUCCCCAUUCUACAUUCUGUCCUCCAUGAAAUUAUCUAUAGAUUCCUGCAUAAAAUUUUCCGUAUUUGUAUUUUUCUGAUAACCAAAUUUUCCGUAUUUGUAUUUAAUACUGCAAAUUGAAUCCUGCAUUAGUUAUGUUGAGUUUGUACUUUGUACCGGAAACCUAUGUUACUCGGACUCGGGUGCGGGUGUCGGAUACGGGUAUGGAUCUAGAGGUCGGACUCGGCAUGAUCUAAAUUUUAAGAUUCGUGGGUACGGAUCCGGGUACGGAUACGGGUGCGGGGAUUCGGCAAAAAUAAUUCAAAAUUCUAAUAAUAUAGCUACAAGAAUAUGCCUAGAUUAUGAGAGCUUUUUGUGGAAGCACCUACAUGUAGUUUGUACCACACAUGUGAUUCAAUCUUCCAUUCUACUAGGUGCUAGACUGCGUGCUCCGAGAAACUAGUUAAAUUUUCUACAUAAUAUUGAAGGUAUGCCAUCUCAUGUCUUCAAAUCUCUACUUUUUGUUAUCUUGAGAAAUCAUAAUCUCAAAAAUUUUCUUUAAUUUGGUCAUGAAUUUCGGUCAAAGUAUCCGAUCUCUAUUGACCGGAUCCGACACGAAUUCCGUACCCAAACCUUGUCGUGUCGUGUCGGACACGGGUACGGCGGCAAAAGUGAAGAGUCCGAGCAACAUAGCCGGAAACUAAACAUUAUAUUAGUUAUGCAAAGAUUAUAUUAGUAAUACAGAGUUAUGUGUUACGUGAAAUCGAGAUUAUUGUUUCUUUUGUGGCCAACCAAACGACCGCGAUGUGAUAUAACUGGUCAAUACCAAAUAUCUUGCUUUCUUUGAUGCCUCACAUGUCGUUGAUAAUUGGUACACCAUAAAGACACUUAUUGAAAGCAAAUGACGUUUCGAUCUUGUUACCUAGAAAAAACAGGUGGGAUGAAAUAACAAGCGCAUCAAUGCAUAGCUUGACACUUUGACAUUAUUACAAUACCAACUUAGUGAAACAUAAAAAAACAACUUAACAACAGCAACUUAGUAAUUGAGGCUAUUAACUGGCAAACAAGGUGGUGACAGUUUUUCACUUGCGUAUCACUUUUUUUUUCCUUCAAAUACUUAUUUUGUAUGGUCAUUGUAGGCGUGUAAAUUUUAAUAAAUUCAAAUCCGUGAAAUAAUUUGGAUUAUAUUAAAUUCAAGAUAUAUUGGUCCAAAUAAAUGAGUGGCUAAUAUAAUUGAAUUAAUAAGUCCAACAAAUAUGGAUUUAAUUUUAAAAAGGUCCAAAUGCAUUGGGCUAGCCUAUUUUAAUUGGGCUACAAAUGAUGAGCCCACUUUGUUAAGCUCAAAAUGUCAUCUUAUCCAGGGAGGCUCAAAUUGGUGCCACGUGUCAAAUGAUGUGGCACGCCAAGUCAAACGAAGGAGCAAAUAGGAUCAUGCCACGUGUCAAAAUGAUGCAGCAUGCCUAGUGUACAAGUGACAUGUUCCGGCCAAUCAAAUGUGGCCAUGUCACUUCAUUCUGAUUGAUCAGAAAGGGUUUGUCCUUAUCACAAUUCUUCCAUCCUACAACUAUAAAUAGGGGUCUCAUAAUUCAGAGGAGGGACCAGAAUUCAGAACAAGAAGCUAGAGGGAGCUCGUGGAUCAAAUGCUACAAGUUUUCUACAAGCUGCAAGCAUUCAAGCACUCCUCUACAAGUUUCAAUUACCCAAAGAUCAAGAACGAAGGCAAAUCAAAUCUCAAGGCGCUCAAGAUCAAAGUCAACGAAGGCAAAUUAAAUACCAAGUUAUUCAAGAUCAAAUGCACUUGUUUGUCUGAGAAUUAUUGUUCGUGGCGGUCAUCAAAGUGUUCGUGACGAAUCAAUUCAAGUCAAAAUCAAAUUCAUAUUCAGGGUCAAGCUUCAGGCCCUUGAAUUCAAAUACAAGUUCAAGAUCAAGACUACCAAAUCAGUGUUGUGAAAGGCGCUCGCCUUGUGCCUUUUGGCGUGAGGCGAGGCGAGCCUUUCUCGCCAUAGACAGCCAAGGCGUGGCAAUUUUCAAAAGGCGAGACAAGGCGAGAAUGGCGAAUGCAGCUGCUGCUUCUCCUUUGGUCAAAAAUAUUCCAUCAUUAAAGUUUCUUCGUCUUCUUCCAUCAGCAGUAGUUUCAGCCACUUUCAGAUUCAAAUCAUGUCAAUAUCCCAUUCUGACAGCAAAGACAUAGUUUGGAAUUUUGGUAGAAAAGGUCCAACUCAGCAUGAAGUUAUAUGUAAUUUUUGUGACAAAAGUAGCAAGGGUGGAAUAACCCGGCACAAACAACAUUUACUUGGUAUUGGAACAAAUUCUAAAGCUUGUAAAAGAUGUCCGGAAUCGGUUAAGGUGGAAAUAAGAGCUUAUAUGGAACAAAAGAAUGCGGUAAAAACUCAAAUGCAGUUCGAUACAUGUGUGGCUGAUCAUACGGAUGAUAGUGAUGAUGAUAUGGAUGAAGUUGGUGAAAUGAGGCCUCCUCCCUCCAAAACUCAAAAAAGGAAAGGUCCUAUGAAUCUUUAUUAUCCACAGAAGCCAAAGGAAGGGGCAGGUGACAAUUUGAGUACAGAAAGAACCCAGAAGCUUUUAAGGGAUCGUGCUGUAGGUGCUUUUGCAAGAUGGGUCUACGAUGCAGGGCUCCCUUUUAAUUGUGUCAAUGCCAAAAGUUUUAAAAAAGUCAUUGACUACAUAGGAGAAUAUGACCCUAAUAUGAAGCCUCCAACCUAUCACAAAGUUAGAGUUAUCUAAAAAAAGAGGUGGAGAAGGUGGACGACAUUGUUGAGGAACAUAAAGUGCAAUGGAGCAAGUUUGGAUGUUCUAUUAUGAUGGAUAAGUGGACCGCACGGAAUGGAAAAAUGGUCAUCAAUAUUUUUUGGUAAACUCUCGAAAAGGUAGUUUGUUUCUUGGAUCAUAUGAUGCUAGCCACUCUUCUACGGAUUCCACUAAAAUGUAUAACUUGUUUGAGAGGACUAUUGAGUCAAUUGGAAAGGAUAAUGUUAUACAAGUGCUUACCGAUAAUGCUAGUGAGAAUGUAAAAGCAAGUCACAUGAUGCAGGGCACAUUCCCACAUAUUUAUUGGACUCCAUGUGCUGCCCAUUGUAUCAAUUUGAUAUUUGGUGACAUUUUCAAGAUCAAUCCAUAUGCUUCAGUUUUUAGCAAGGCCACUAAAAUCUAUGCUUACAUCAGUCAAAGGCCAUUGCUAUUAAACUUGAUGAGGAAGUUUACAAAUGAAAGAAAUUUGGUGAGACCGGGCAAGACUAGAUUUGCAACAGCUUUCUUGACUUUGCAUAGUUUUACAUGCAAAAGAAAAACUUAAGAAACUUAGUCACUUCAAAUGAACAUGCAAAGGAAAUUGCGGGGAAAGAGGUUGCGAGGAAUCUUAUUUCUCUAUCAUUUUGGAAUGAUGUUUGUAAGGCACUUAAAGUUGGUAGUCCUUUGAUUAUCGUACUUCGUUUGGUGGAUGGGGAGAAAAAACCACCAAUGGGCUAUCUUUAUGAAGCUAUGGAUCUUUGCAAAGAAUCUAUUGCAAAGGCAUUUGGGGGUGAUGAGAGGAAGUAUGACAAAGUUUUUAAGAUCAUUGAUAAAAGAUGGUUAGAUCAACUUCAUCGACCUUUGCAUGCAGCAGGACAUAUUCUGAACCUGGAGUUAUAUUAUAAGAAUGCAGCUGCUGAAACUUUAGAUGGAGAAGUGUGGGAUGACUACAUUUCAUGUCUUGAGAAGUUGGUCCCUGAUCCUAGAUUGAGAGAUAGAAUGUCGAUUGAGCUUGGUAAGUACAAACAAGCAGAUGGUAAGGAAUCUGCCAUUUGAGCUAGAGACCGUUUGUCACCAGUCGAAAGGUGGUUGCAAUAUGGUAACCAUGUUCCAGUCUUGCAAAAGUUUGCUGUCAAAGUACUAAGCUUAACUUGUAGCGCAUCCGGAUGUGAAAGAAAUUGGAGCGUCUAUGAACAUAUUCACUCCAAGAAGAGGAAUAGAUUGAGCUAAAAUGUCUGAAUGAUCUAGUGUACAUUUAGUACAAUAGAACAUUGAAGCGUCGUUAUAAAGCUCGCGAUACCAUUGAUUCAAUUAGGUUGGAGAAUAUUGAGGAUGUAAAUGAAUGGGUAACUGGAGCACCCGAAGACCUUGCAGAGGAAGAGUUAGAAGAUGGUGGUCUCACUUGGGGUAUUGUUGCUUCGGCAAGUGGAUGUGAGGAGAGUAUCUAUGGUCUUAGGGCGAGUUGUUCAAUGAACAAGGAUAAAAGGGUGGCUUCUUCAAGUCGAUCCCUAGUUGAUGAAGACUCUGAGGAAGAAGAAGAUGACAGCCACUAUAAUGCUAACACUCUUGUGGUUGAAGAAUUUGGAGAUCUUGAAGAAGAAUAGAUGUUUCUUCGUUAUAAUUUGGUUAAUGCUAACAAUGACCGGGACCUUAUGACUUAUUAACUAUCUAGUUGCCUAGUUAGAGACUUUUAGACUUUAUUAUCAACUAUCUUAUAUCUACUUUUAGUUUUUCAAUUGAAAUAUUUGCUAGUAUUUUGUUGAGUAUUUGAGUUUUUGGGUAUUUAUUUAUAUAUGCAUAUUUAAUAUUUUAAUUUUUUUGGGUUAAUUCUCGCCUCGCCUCCAAAAGGUGUUCGCCAUGCCACGCCACGCCAUGAGGCGUGAGGCGAGCCCUUGUCGCCACGCCUCGCCUUUCGCAAUCCUAAACACUGUACCAAAUUCAAGAUCAAGCUCAAAGGCCCUUGAAUUCAAGUACAAGUCAAAAUCAAAUUCAAGAUCAAGCUCAAAAGCCCUUGAAUUUAUAUUUAUAAAGAAGAAUAAGAGGAAUCAUAGAGAUUGUAACACUCAUAUUUGAAAUCAAAUAAUACGAUUGUUGCGAUAUUUUCCUGUCUUGAUUAUUAUUUUCUCGACGCGAAUUUUAUUGUCUACAAAUUUUGGCACGCCCAGUGGGACAAUCUCUACCUCCCAUCUCUUCCAUUAGAAGUUGAAGAACAUCAAAAUGACUCAAAUGAAGACCAACCCCAAAUCGGAUGCUAUUGCGACUGCUCAACCUAAAAGUGGAUUGGAAGUUUCCAUGGAGAUCAUUGGACAAAUCAAAAGGAGUAAAACCGGAAUGCGAGGACAACAAGUGCUUCAUGUUCCGUCCAAGCGAACUCAUGUUUCUGGUUCAUCUUCUCCAAAAGGAAUGAUAUCCUCAUCAUGCAUGCUAGAAGAAGGGAAUACUAUUGCUGAGGUGCUUGAAAGAACUUUGGCUCAACUAAAUCUACCGCAAGAAUGCCAUUGCAAGUCGAACAACCCCUUCCUGCAAGAAGAUGAUGAUGCCCUAAACGAUGGAUAUGCUCCAACUUCCUAUCAAGUCACUCCCCAGUUUAAGCUCUAUUCGAGUAGUGAUCAAUAUCACUCUUCAUCCUCCAUGAUGGUCGUGCAGGCAAUGAUGAUUGACGCAUCCACUAUAGAAGAACAACUUGCAAGUUUGACUAAGGCAGUUGAAGGCUUGACAAAGCACGUGCAAGAACAGGAUGAUAAGCUUUCCAAGCUGACAAAUAAGAUGGAAAGUAUGGCUGAGAGAGAAUCGAGUCAAACACCUAGAAAGCUUCCUGAAAUUCAAGAGAAAGGAGAGUUCCGUAAAGCAAACAACAACGAUCAAAGAGAUCCAAGUUUCUGCCGAAGGUUUGAUUCUUGUUGACCAAUUGAAGAACUUCAUCAUGGGGCCAUCAAAGAUAAAUCUGAGUCCUCAUCCAAAUCACCUCUCACAUAUGUAAAGCCCUAUACACGAAGGAUUGAUAACUUGAAUGCAUGAUGGCUAUCAACCUCCUAAGUUGCAACAAUUUGAUGGUAAAGGAAAUCCCAAACAAUAUAUAGCGCACUUCGUUGAGACUUGCAAUAAUGCUGGGACUUAUGAUGAUUAUCUUGUCAAGCAGUUCGUUCGAUCUCUCAAAGAAAAUGCUUUUGAUUGGUAUACUGAUCUUGAACCUAGUUUUAUAAAUAGUUAGGAGCAGCUGGAGCAAGAAUUCCUCAAUCGUUUUUAUAGCACAAGACGUAUCGUUAGUAUGAUUGAACUUACAAGAGCCUGCCAACACGAAGGUGAGCCAGUUAUUGACUUCAUCAAUCGCUGGAGGAGCUUGAGCCUCAACUCCAAAGAUCGCCUUAGUGAAACUUCUAGCAUUGAAAUGUGCAUUCAAGGCAUGAAUUGGGGUCUUCGCUACAUCUUGCAAGGAAUAAAGCCCAAUACAUUUGAAGAGUUGGCGACGUGCGCACAUGAUAUGGAAUUAAGCAUGGCUACAAGUGGAGAUCAAUGGUUGCCAGUCUUUGAACCUCGCAAAGAUGAAGAUAUAGAACAACUCCAUAAUGGGGGCAAGUAUGAAUGUGAAGAUGAAACUGAAGAGUCUUUGUAUGUUACCAUGCUCCUCAUCGCACGAGCCUAAACUACAAGUUAAAAUGCUCCUCAUCGCACGAGCCUAAACUGCAAGUUGCAAUGCUCCUCAUCGCAUGGGCCUAAACUGCAAGGUACGAUGCUCCUUGAUGCACGAGCUGAAACUGCAUGUCACGAAGCUCUUCAAAUUUCGAGGAAAAUCUUGAAAUCGCGAAGCUCCUCAAUUCAAGUUAAAUCUUCAAGCCACGAAUCUCAUCAAAUUAGGAGCCAAAUUUUCAAAUCACGAAGCUCAUCAAAUUCGAGCUAAUCUUGAAAUUGCGAAGCUCCUUAAAUUUGAGCUAAAUCUUCAAAUUGCAAAGCUCUUCAAGUCGAGUUAUCUUCAAGUUAAAACGCUCCUUGACGUACGAGUAUAAACUUCAUGUUACUCCUAGCCCGCAAGGGUAUAAACUGUGCACGGCCCAAAAAACAAAUAUCCGCUAGGUUGAAAAUCUCGUAAGAGGCGGUCUUCACCGAUGUACGUAGGCGCUUAGAGUUUUAUUCUAAGUUCAGUCUCAUGAGUUUAAAAAUAUAUGUCACUCCAAGUGUUGUUAUGAUGGAAUGAAAUCCGCGACCAGACACAUACAGAUCAUAUAUACAAGCAUCUUUUUGUUGAAAUUGGGACCUUCACUAAACACUGACGGUUCAAUGGGGGCAAAUAUCCAUGGCAAAUGGGUUUCUCCAACGGGAUUACUGUAAUCUCUUAGCAAGUGGUCAAAUAAGCAAGUUGAAGUCUGCAAAUUCGCCGGUUUUCAAGUUGAAGGCCUCAAAUCCACCAGGUCUUCAAGUUGAAGUCCAAAGCUACUGCAUCUGCAAGUUGAAGUCUUCAAAUCUGUCAGGCUUCAAGUUGAAGUUUUAAAUCCACUAUGUCUGCAAGUUGAAGUCUUCAAAUCUGUCAUGCUUCAAGUUGAGUUUUAAAUCCACAAUGUUUGUAAGUUGAAGUCUUCAAAUCUGUCAGUCUUCAAGUUGAAGUUUUAAAUCUAUCAUGUCUGCAAGUUGAAGUCUUAAAAUAUAACAAGUCUUCAAGUUGAAGUUUCAAAUCCACCAUGUCUGCAAGUUGAAGUCUUAAAAUACAACAAGUUUUCAAGUUGAAGUUUCAAAUCCACCAUCUCUGCAAGUUGAAGUCUUAAAAAUCUAGCGAGUCUUCAAGUUGAAGUUUCAAAACCACCAUGUUUACAAGUUGAAGUCUUCAAAUCCGUCGAGUCUUCAAGUUGGAAUCUCAAAUCCACCACAUGGCAAGUUGAAGCCUUCAAAGAUUGCCAAGUAUAGUCUUCAAGCUGAGGAUCUCUAAAUUUCCAUGCCUUAAGAUAUGGAUAUUUAGCAUCGUGGAUUUAUCCUUUGAUGUUCCGUCGAUAUAGAAAUUUGGCGUCGUGAAUUUGUCCUUUGAUGUCCUAUCGAUAUGAAAAUUUGGCGCCAUGAAUUUAUCCUUUGUUAUUCCGUUGAUAAGGGUACUCCGUCGAUAAACGCAUUCCGUCAAUAUGAGAGUUCCAGCGAUAUGAACAUUCCAUCAUAAGGGCAUUCCAUCGAUAAGGGCAUUCCGUCAAUAAUGACAUUUCGCCAGUAAAGGCAAGCCGUCGAUAUGGACAUUCUGUCGAUAAGGGCACCUCGUCAAAGUGGGCAUUCCGUCGAUAAGGACAUUCCGUUUAUAAAGGGAUUCCAUCGAUGAUGGAUAUUACAUGGAUAUGAACAUUCCAUCGUUGUGGUUAAAGAACCGAUCCUUUUGAUCUAUAUAAAAAAAAAGACGAAAUAAUAUAACAAGAAAACGCAAAGCAGAGAAAAAAAAUAUUACCUUGCACUUUGCAAGUCGGGCUCCAAGUGUUUUCUUGAAGAGUUUACAAACCAGUGCUAUAAGAAUGAAAAAAUUAUGCAGCUAUUUAUAGAUGCUAAGAGGCGGCGGAUGUUCCAUCUCCCAGGUGGAUUGCACUUCCUUUCCUACUAUGAGUCUAAGCGGAAUAAUACUUGACUUUAUCCACCUCUUUCUCUAAUCUAAUUGGUCACUGCUAGCCAUAAGUUUUCGGUGUUGCUAAAGGCUUGGCAACGUGAAUCUUCCAAGAUAGACAAAAUAAUUGGACAUUAGCUCAUACCUAUUGAUAGCUCACCUACCAGAAUCAUAUUUUAAUCCAAUUAUUUUAAGUACAUGAUGUAUCCAUGGUGCACUUUAAGUUACGUAUGGGGCAACUAUCCUUUUGUUAUACUUCAAGCCCAGUCUCUAAAUUUGACAAGUCAAUUUCGACAAGCCUUGAAGUAGGGGGCAUUUGUAGGGGUGUAAAUUUUAGUAAAUUCAAAUCCGUGAAAUAAUUUGGAUUAUAUUAAAUUCAAGAUAUAUUGGUCCAAAUAAAUGAGUGGCUAAUAUAAUUGAAUUAAUAAGUCCAACAAAUAUGGAUUUAAUUUUAAAAAGGUCCAAUUGCAUUGGGCUAGCCUAUUUUAAUUAGGCUACAAAUGAUGAGCCCACUUUGUUAAGCUCAAAAUGUCAUCUUAUCCAGGGAGGCUCAAAUUGGUGCCACGUGUCAAAUGACGUGGCAUGCCAAGUCAAAUGAAGGAGCAAAUAGGAUCAUGCCACGUGUCAAAAUGAUGCAGCAUGCCUAGUGUACAAGUGACAUAUUCCGGUCAAUCAAAUGUGGCCAUGUCACUUCAUUCUGAUUGGUCAGAAAGGGUUUGUCCUUAUCACAACUCUUCCAUCCUACAACUAUAAAUAGGGGUCUCAUAAUUCAGAGGAGGGACCAGAAUUCAGAACAAGAAGCUAGAGGGAGCUCGUGGGUCAAACGCUACAAGUUUUCUACAAGCUGCAAGCAUUCAAGCACUCCUCUACAAGUUUCAAUUACCCGAAGAUCAAGAACGAAGGCAAAUCAAAUAGCAAGGCGCUCAAGAUCAAAGUCAACGAAGGCAAAUUAAAUACCAAGGCGUUCAAGAUCAAAUUCACUUGUUCGUCUGAGAAUUAUUGUUCGUGGCGGUUAUCAAAGUGUUCGUGACGAAUCAAUUCAAGUCAAAAUCAAAUCCAUAUUCAGGAUCAAGCUUCAGGCCCUUUAAUUCAAAUACAAGUUCAAGAUCAAGACUACCAAAUUCAAGAUCAAGCUCAAAGGCCCUUGAAUUCAAGUACUAGUCAAAAUCAAAUUCAAGAUCAAGCUCAAAAGCCCUUGAAUUUAUAUGUGUAAAGAAGAAUCAGAGGAAUCAUAGAGAUUGUAACACUCAUAUUUGAAAUCAAAUAAUACGAUUGUUGCGAUAAUUUCCUGUCUUGAUUAUUAUUUUCUCGAUGCGAAUUUUAUUGUCUACAGUCAUGUCUCCUUGGUAUCUUGAAUAUCCUUUUGCUAUAGAAAGUAAAGCUAAGGGGAAUAGAAGUGACAGGGAAUGAUAUCAGAAAAGCUUGGCUUUAUGGGGACUACCAUUCUUUUAAGGUCUAUGAGCUUAAGCUGUUCGAAGCUCUAGACAGCAGCAUCCGGUCUGCUCUUCCAGUGGGCCUCUAAGUGGCAGCUUAGAGUAGCUCAUGCUGGGUAACCCCAAAUUUCUUCCCUUUUUAUCUUCCUGCAUCACGGCCAAGGUGACAUGCUUUGCCGAAACUGAGCUCACUAGGUAUUAUGUUCUCAAGCCACAUACAUGCUCGUUCAAUCUCAAAGUUUACAGAAGCCGAGUUCUUCAAUUUUAGGUCAACUGUUCUCAGAUUUCAUCUAAAUUAAGAAUUUCACGAAGUAAUGUUGUGUAGCUAGCCUAAAAUUUUUCCAAAGCCAGUGAAGUAUCUGGAUAGCUCCAAUAGCAAUAUUUCAUUCAAAAGUCAAGGGCUUAAAAUUAGAAUGUUCCUUUAGCUACACGCUCAAAUUCUAGACUUGCAUAGUCAGCCGUUGCCAAAAGAAAAGUAAAGAAAUUCAACAUCAUUAUUACCAUAUAUUAGCAUAAGGAGGAGAAGAUGAACAAAAUACCAGGUCUUAAUAAGCUCUAAAUGAAAAGUAUUUUUUAUUAUAACGGUGCUAGCAACGCUAGCUUGAUUGCACCUCGACUAUUCCACCAGGUACCUACUACCUCCCACCAGCAAGUCUUAGAAAAAUAGGAAGAAAUCACCUAGUGUUUUUUGCCUUUGCUGUGAUUUGAAGAUCUAAAUGAGGUAGGGUCAACAGUACUUAAUAGUCUUAUUUUUAAUAGAGCAGAAGUGAAUUUGGGCUGAUCAUGUGGUGAUUCUUGAUUUAAACUCAGUUUGAAACUUAGAGGCUCAUGCUCAGUUGCCUCGCAAUCACUUAAGCUUGGCCCCUGAUUCUUUCAGGCUGGCAAUUAGUUCUAGGCCGGUCAAUGUCAGUUGAGUCAUAAUCUUGAUAUGCAGUCUUACUCAAGGUGUUGCUUCUUUCAGUUUGUCGGUUGAGAUCGUUGUGAAAUGUUAGUGGGUAUAUCUGAUCAUACGUAUCUGAAGAAGUGAAAAUACUUCUUGUGAA